AACGAACGCUGGCGGCAUGCCUAACACAUGCAAGUCGAACGAUGCCUUCGGGCAUAGUGGCGCACGGGUGCGUAACGCGUGGGAAUCUGCCUUUCGGUUCGGAAUAACUCAGGGAAACUUGAGCUAAUACCGGAUAACGUCGCAAGACCAAAGAUUUAUCACCGAAAGAUGAGCCCGCGUAGGAUUAGCUAGUUGGUGAGGUAAAGGCUCACCAAGGCGACGAUCCUUAGCUGGUCUGAGAGGAUGAUCAGCCACACUGGGACUGAGACACGGCCCAGACUCCUACGGGAGGCAGCAGUGGGGAAUAUUGGACAAUGGGCGAAAGCCUGAUCUAGCAAUGCCGCGUGAGUGAUGAAGGCCUUAGGGUUGUAAAGCUCUUUUACCCGGGAAGAUAAUGACGGUACCGGGAGAAUAAGCCCCGGCUAACUCCGUG
rnacentral:rRNA from 1 species